UUGGUGUUGCUUUCGUGCUUUUUCCUUUUUGUUCUUCUUUUCGUUUGAUUCUGUUUGGCUUUGGUUGGCAAUUGGCACUUUUGCUGGCUUUUUCUGUGAUUCUUGAUCUUGAGUAGAGGUAGGAAUUUUCCAUUUUCUUGGUUUUUCUCGUAGUUUUACUCUACUCUUCUCUUUCAAUUCUCUGUCUCUCUGUUUCUUUUUUGAAUUUUAUGUCUCUUGGGAGAGUUGCAAAUUUCUCACUUAUCGCCUUGUUGAUUAGGUAGGCUUAACGAAUCCCUGUGUCUCCCUUUCCAUGGAAUUGAUCUCUGUCCAUAAUCUAGCAAUUUCCAUACUCUGUGUUUAGGUUGGGGACCAUCGGUUUGAUAUUGUUGUCGUGAGAAUCAUCUGUUACCAUUGACUCUACGGUUUAUUCGUGUUCCAUCAUAUUCUUGUUCUUUGGUGUUGGCUAAGUAGGCACGCGCAUGGACUCUCACCAUCAUUAGAUGCUUGGGCUAAGAAUCCUUCCUUCUUGGAGAAGUAACAAAAGGGAACUCUGAGCUACCUGAUUUUUGCUAUGAUUGAUAUGGGAAUUCAAGGUUUCAGGAUGGAUGACUUGUUAGGCGGGUUGGACUGACAGUGAUUGUGUUCUGUGGCAUAACGUUUGAUGGGUGUUGUAGACGCUUUAGGUCAAGGCUUAUGUAUAAAGCUCCCUUAUGGAAUUGCAGUCCAACCGAAAGAAAAAGGAAGAUAAAGAACUGUCUUAUACUAAUAUGGUCUGCUCUGCGACUGCCUUUUGGUAACAUGCCAGUAUUAACUAGUAUGUGUAACUGUGGGAAUGGUUGUGGGUGUGUUUUAAUGAAGUCGAUGGUCGAUAGAUACAGUGGAAGUGGAAAGACAGAAUACGCGUUAAGCGAGAAUUUCUUUGUGAACUACUACAUUCAUUUCUAGCCCCAGACAAGUUCAAUGUCAACUGAUGGAAUAUGAUAAAAAUACAUGUGAUAUGGUUGAUGUGAAUUAUUAGGUAAAAUAUGCAUAAUUGAACUCAUUUUGAUCUAUUAUAGUUUUUUCUCUUGCCGGUUCCUUAAUUCAGGUGCUCCAUUGACUAUAGUUACUGCAUUUAGUCCAUGUCAUCAGAUGGGUUUUUUGGGGCCAUGAGAACUGUCGGGCGGGUCAAUUUGUGACCUGAAUAUCCAGAAUUGUAGAUACGAUCUGGCUUCAGUUUGAUAUAUUUGUUAGGUCCCCAAUUCUUAUAGCAUUGAGUCCGUAAUCAGGACCUCUGGGUCAUCAAUGAGACUCUUGUUCUGGAGAUAUAUCUCCGUGUGUUCAAGUUCUUGUCUCUAUGGUAUAUUUUCCGCUGUCUUUUCCCGUUAACCAUUCGAUAAAUAAUGUUGUGUACAAAAUUCAGUCUUCUGUUGAUCCCACCAUGUCUGUGAGAAUAUAGUAAAUCCCCACAGGGCACCAUGUCACUACCUUAUGUUGUCCACCCAAACCAGUCACUUUAUGCCUACUGUUGUGAUCUUUAAUAUGUCGCUUGGGAAAUUACAAGAUGUAUAUGGCUAAUUUCUAUAUUUAGCGUAAAUAUAUUUUUGUUUAUCCUCUGAUGAGAAGUUGAGAUUGCAGUCAAACUGUGUUCAAAAGUAGCAGUGUUCCUCAAGCAUUAUGAGUACAUGUUGUGGAGUUGUAAGGGGACGUAAAGAAGAGAAACCCCCUUAUGGGCAUUUGGUGACAUUAUGUUCACCUGGUCCUGUUUGCUGUUUGCAACGCAUCUCGUGAGUAGGCCACUUUAUCCUCACAUAAAAUGUGCAUGAAGAUGGGGGAGCUACUAAGACCAUAUAUAUUUUAGUCAGCAUUAGCACUUCUCAAGGUAACUGAAAAGUGAAGUGGAUAGGCUUGAGCAGGUCAUUUGAAGUUUGCCAUAAUUUAUUGCACAUGAACCAGUCAUGUGUGCCUUUUCCCAAGCUGAUAUUCUCUGACAGGAACUUUGAAAACCACUUAAAUGUCUCAAAUUUUAAAAGCAUCACAAGUUGCCGUGAGUACUAUCUUCUAUUAACUUCUGGGAGGUCUCUGCCAGAGCACUCAGUUCCGUCAACGGUUUCCUUCAAUCUAAGGACUUCUCUAUGUUUUAAUGCUUUGAUGACUUUGCCAUGAUUUAUACUGCUGCAAAGCCCUACCAAGGGUAGUCUCUUGAUGGUUUCUACUUGUGCUCAAGUUAGUAUCUGUCUACGGUCUGGAACC